AUCCAUCCCUCUAGGAAGAUCCUAUGCCACUAGCCUCGUGGCUCUGGAGCCCCUUGUAGGUGCACAACUAGGACAAACGUGUCAUAAGCAUCAAGGGAUUUGGGGCACUUAUCUGCAGGACAUGACACCUUCUCCUAUGGACGUUGAUGUCAAACCCUCCUCCCAAGGUCCAAACUUUGUGCUAUGAAGUAAAGGAAAUAUUUCUGGAGGAAACUAAUGUUCAUGUACGGUAUCUUUCCCACAAUUUUGCAAUGGCGCCAUUUUAUUAAUAUAGUUAAUUGGUUGUUACAAAAUAUAUGGAUGGUUUCCUCUGUUCAGUUUUAGUAACAUCAUGCCAUCAUCCUCAUAGUUUUGUUCUGCACUUGUAUUUAUUAAUGUUCUAUUCAGUUUUCUUGUGUGGAAGCGACCAGCUAGAAAAGGCAGGACGAGUUUCUUAAUAAUGAUCAUGUUUUGGUGCUA